rnacentral:lncRNA from 1 species
GGAAAAAAACAUCUUUUCGACCAGGAUGAGGAGACAUGUUGGAACUCAGACCAGGUUCACAGGGCACUCAGGCUCUCCACAAGAUUGUAGAUUUCUACCCUGAGGACAACAACUCGCUUCAGAUAUCCUGCCCCUGCUUCUGGGGUGGGUGGUCUGUGCCUCUGGAAGCUUUGGACUCACCCAAACCCGAAUGGGAACCCUGAUGUGUGAUCUUGAACACGUGACCUCUAGGACUCCACUUUUUCUGUAAAAUGGUGCUGAUGACCACCUGUUCUGUGUGAGAGGCUUAGAGGGACCUGCAGCUUCCCCAGGUUGCCCACAUCGGUGGAGUGUGAGCUGGGUCUGGAAGGGGUGGGGGCCUGCGGGUGGGAAACC